rnacentral:tRNA from 4 species
GGGCCGGUAGCUCAGUCGGUAGAGCAUCGGACUGAAAAUCCGAGUGUCGGCAGUUCAAUUCUGCCCUGGCCCACCA